AACGACACGAACAAGCCAAAAAAAGAAAAAGAAAAGAAAAGAUCAUCAUCCCCCUCCCCUUCAUAACUUACUGUCACACGAUCCACCCUGUCGGUUGCCUGCCCCCUUUUUCUUCUUUUUUUCUUUGGUUGUUGUUCUUU
rnacentral:ribozyme from 21 species